CCCGGCGCCUGGACGAGUCCAAAGAGUUUUAGCUAGGGGAGGCGGACAGAAAAGUUGUUGUUGUUGUGGAAGAAUAGUCCCGGUCACUCAGUAAGCGUGUUCUUCAUCUUGGGAGCUGCUGAGCCCUGGACGAUGCUUUUAAGCCAAGAGCAAAGCUAUGCACCUGCAUAUUAUUGAAAACAGGUUUGAUCAGCUUAGUCGUCUGGAAGGCCAUCGGGUGGAGACACACCUUUUAUUAAAAUGACUUUUCAUGCGGAGGUGCCCACCAUCAGAAGUGGGGGGGCAGCCGGAUCAGUGCACCUAGGGAUGAGAUUGUACCGAAUUCCAAACGAGAUUCAGCUGUUGAGCAGAUAUGAGACAGCGCCAAUACUCUGCUGUGUAACUGCUCCAUAAAACACAUCAGCCAUCUAUUUUAGUAGAACCCACAGUUAAUGGAAACUGAAAUUCAUAAUUCUGCUGCCAGAACCAUCAGGAAGACAACCGCUGUUAUGGAACGGAAGACAGGAUUUUACAUAAGUGUCAUACAGAGAUUAUUUAAAGGAACAAUCCUUCCCUUAUCUUGGUAAAAAUGAAUGUGGAAGUGAUGUUCACCUUAUGUAAGUGAUUGUGGUUACCUGUUAAAGUAGUCUUCACUAUUUAUAAUACUGAUUGUAUAAAAUAUCUAUAUCUGCACACUUUAUCGCUUGCUAUCUAUUCUAAUAAAGCAAUAGGCCAU